CUUAGUUUGCAUCUCUUUUCAGACUGUGAGGUUGCUUCUGGACACCCUCAACAUAGUUGGCACUUGAACUUUGGGAACCCUGAGCUGAGCCUGGAAUUUCCAAGAUGGGCACAAGAGACGUGCUGUGUUUGAAGAAUGAGGCAAACCUAUACAAUACAAGUCGCUACUGGGGAGGGACAGCUUAGCCAACUGAAAGCUGACAUCUGCCUGCCAUGGCAAAGGCAUCCCGGUUCUGACACAUCACACACAGAUGUCUGGGGAAUUCCAGCUUUCCACAGUUACACUGGAGUUUUUUGAGAGUUAAUACAGGAUCUUGCUCAUCACAAUCAAGCUCCUAA